rnacentral:rRNA from 1 species
UACGUAGGUGACAAGCGUUGUCCGGAUUUACUGGGCGUAAAGAGCGCGCAGGCGGUCGUUCAAGUCGAGUGUGAAAGCCCCCGGCUCAACUGGGGAGGGUCACUCGAUACUGAUCGACUUGAAGGCAGGAGAGGGAAGCGGAAUUCCCGGUGUAGUGGUGAAAUGCGUAGAUAUCAGGAAGAACACCCGUGGCGAAGGCGGCUCUCUGGGACGGUACUGACGCUGAGACGCGAAAGCGUGGGGAGCGAACAGG